rnacentral:rRNA from 1 species
GAUGAACGCUGGCGGCGUGCCUAAUACAUGCAAGUCGAGCGAACGGACGAGAAGUUUGCUUAUCUGAUGUUAUCGUCGUACGGGUGAGUAACACGUGGAUAACCUACCUAUAAGACUGGGAUAAUUUCGGGAAACCGUAGCUAAUACCGGAUAAUAUUUUGAAUCGCAUGUUUCAAAAGUGAAUGACGGUCUUUCUGUCUCUUUUAGAUGUAUCCUCGCUGCAUUAGCUAGUUGGUAAGGUAACGGCUUACCAAGGCAACGAUGCAUAGCCGACCUGAGAGGGUGAUCGGCCACAAUGGAACUGAGACACGGUCCAGACUCCUACGGGAGGCAGCAGUAGGGAAUAUUCCGCAAUGGGCGAAAGCCUGACGGAGCAACGCCGCGUGAGUGAUGAAGGUCUUCGGAUCGUAAAACUCUGUUAUUAGGGAAGAACAUAUGUGUAAGUAACUGUGCACAUCUUGACGGUACCUAAUCAGAAAGCAACGGCUAACUACGUG